rnacentral:siRNA from 1 species
CACAUUUCCUAGGCUUUGAAUGUU